rnacentral:lncRNA from 1 species
AAAGUCUAAGCUUUGGCAUUUUGAAUGCAUGGUCAGAAGGUGGUCGUAGAGAAAUCGAUCCGAAGAGAGCCCACCUGUUACUGUAAUGGAAUGGAGCUGUUUUCCUAAAGCAAUGGACUGUAAUGGUACACAUCCUUAAGGAGGAGAGAGAAAGAAAUUCGGUUUUUUAGGAGAGAGAAAAUUGUUGGGUCGAACCCUGUUUCAGGUUGGAAUUUUGAGAGGGUCUCCUUAAGCUGACCUUCUGAACAGAGGGUGAUGAAAUCUGCUCUAAAUUUGGUGGGGUUUUUGGAAGAGGUAGAGAGAGAAUGGAGGAACUUUUAGAGGAUGGGUCCUGGUUGUGUUGAGGAUGCUGCAUUUAUACAUGGCUGGAUAUGCUUAUUGGGUUUUUGCUUUGGCAAUAACAUUUUUUGGCAACUAAAUCUCUUGUUUCUGUUUUGUGGUAGGAGGUGAGAGAAACUUGCCCGUUAACUAUAGGAGCUCAAGAACAUGGUGAUUUUGAAGGACCGGUUUUUUCCACAUUAGCCCCUCUUUCGCUACAGUUCUUAUGAAAUUACGUAGUUUCUCUCUCUCUCUCAAGUUUGGAAUCGAUUUAACCGGCCUGAUCAGUAAACUGGCCGAUUCAAUUGUUCUAACCAGGCAAGUCUUGGGUAGUCAAAAAAGUUUUGAACAAAAUAAAAAAAUACAAAAAAUUUUUACUAAAAUAUGAAAAAACAUAUAAAAAAUGAUUAAAACAAAACACAUUCAAAUUAAGUUGAAAUUAAUGAAAAAUAGACUUUAACUUAUUUUAUAUUUUUC